rnacentral:piRNA from 1 species
UGACUGAGCCAUGUAUCGAUGCGCUGUGU